UACAGAGGUCUCAAGCGUUGUUCGGAUUCAUUGGGCGUAAAGGGUGCGUAGGCGGCGCGGUAAGUCGGGUGUGAAAUCUCGGAGCUUAACUCCGAAACUGCAUUCGAUACUGCCGUGCUUGAGGACUGGAGAGGAGACUGGAAUUUACGGUGUAGCGGUGAAAUGCGUAGAUAUCGUAAGGAAGACCAGUGGCGAAGGCGGGUCUCUGGACAGUUCCUGACGCUGAGGCACGAAGGCCAGGGGAGCAAACGGGAUUAGAGUACC
rnacentral:rRNA from 1 species